rnacentral:rRNA from 1 species
AGAGUUUGAUCAUGGCUCAGGACGAACGCUGGCGGCGUGCUUAACACAUGCAAGUCGAACGAUGAACCGGUUUCGGCCGGGGAUUAGUGGCGAACGGGUGAGUAACACGUGGGUAAUCUGCCCCGCACUCUGGGAUAAGCCCGGGAAACUGGGUCUAAUACCGGAUAUACAUCGAUGGUCGCAUGGCCUGUCGGUGGAAAGCUUUUGCGGUGUGGGAUGGGCCCGCGGCCUAUCAGCUUGUUGGUGGGGUGAUGGCCUACCAAGGCGACGACGGGUAGCCGGCCUGAGAGGGUGACCGGCCACACUGGGACUGAGACACGGCCCAGACUCCUACGGGAGGCAGCAGUGGGGAAUAUUGCACAAUGGGCGAAAGCCUGAUGCAGCGACGCCGCGUGAGGGAUGACGGCCUUCGGGUUGUAAACCUCUUUCAGCAGGGAAGAAGCGCAAGUGACGGUACCUGCAGAAGAAGCACCGGCUAACUACGUGCCAGCAGCCGCGGUAAUACGUAGGGUGCAAGCGUUGUCCGGAAUUAUUGGGCGUAAAGAGCUCGUAGGCGGCUUGUCGCGUCGGUUGUGAAAGCCCGGGGCUUAACCCUGGGUCUGCAGUCGAUACGGGCAGGCUAGAGUUCGGCAGGGGAGACUGGAAUUCCUGGUGUAGCGGUGAAAUGCGCAGAUAUCAGGAGGAACACCGGUGGCGAAGGCGGGUCUCUGGGCCGAUACUGACGCU